rnacentral:rRNA from 1 species
AGAGUUUGAUCAUGGCUCAGGAUGAACGCUAGCUACAGGCUUAACACAUGCAAGUCGAGGGGCAGCAUGUUGGUUGCUUGCAACCAAUGAUGGCGACCGGCGCACGGGUGAGUAACGCGUAUCCAACCUACCCUUGUCCAUCGGAUAACCCGUCGAAAGGCGGCCUAACACGAUAUGCGGUUCACAGCAGGCAUCUAAGGUGAACGAAAUGUGAAGGAGAAGGAUGGGGAUGCGUCUGAUUAGCUUGUUGGCGGGGUAACGGCCACAAGGCUACGAUCAGUAGGGGUUCUGAGAGGAAGGUCCCCAGAUUGGGAACUGAGACACGGUCCAAACUCCUACGGGAGCA